rnacentral:lncRNA from 1 species
GGACAUAACCUCAAAAACACAUAGUCUUAGUGGAGUUGCCUUAUAAAGGUCAAUUAGUAGAAGAUUCAAACGGCUAUUAUUCUUUUACUAGUUUGAGAUCAAACCCUGGCAGCUUCACUCAGAAGAAUGAAAGGAACUUCUGAACUCUACACUCCCCAAGAGUCUGACCUCCUUGGUCUAAAAAAGAAGUCAUUUUUGAAAAUGGAUAUUGAUAAUCUAAGUCAAAGGAAUACAAGAUACCAAAUUUCUUUGCUGUGGCUAACAUAACUGAAAAAAGGAGACUAUACACAGAAGUUCAUGUCACAGUUUGGACAUCUAAACUCAAAAUUCAAGCAAAAAAUAAAUCUGGUCAAGCCUAAAACUUGAAAUUCCA